rnacentral:rRNA from 1 species
AUUUGGUACGCGGUAGCGGAGCGUUCUGUAAGCCUGCGAAGGGCGACUCGUGAGAGCGCCUGGAGGUAUCAGAAGUGCGAAUGCUGGCAUGAGUAACGACAAACACUGUGAAAGACAGUGUCGCCGAAAGUCCAAGGGUUCCUGCGUAAAGUUAAUCUUCGCAGGGUUAGCCGGUCCCUAAGGCGAGGCCGAAAGGCGUAGUCGAUGGGAAUCACGUGAAUAUUCGUGAGCCAGUGGGUGGUGACGGAUCUCUUAUGUUGUCAGAUCUUAUUGGAUUGAUCUGGCCUCGACGAGGUUCCAGGAAAUAGCCCCCACAUUAGACCGUACCCGAAACCGACACAGGUGGACUGGUAGAGUAUACCAAGGCGCUUGAGAGAACUAUGUUGAAGGAACUCGGCAAUUUACCUCCGUAACUUCGGGAUAAGGGGGCCCUCUAUGUACGCAAGUGCAUAGGGGGGGCACAGACCAGGGGGUGGCAACUGUUUAACAAAAACACAGGGCUCUGCGAAAUCGCAAGAUGACGUAUAGGGUCUGACGCCUGCCCGGUGCCGGAAGGUUAAGAGGAGGUGUGCAAGCACUGAAUUGAAGCCCCGGUAAACGGCGGCCGUAACGAUAACGGUCCUAAGGUAGCGAAAUUCCUUGUCGGGUAAGUUCCGACCUGCACGAGGGCGUAAUGACUUCCCCGCUGUCUCCAACAUAGACUCAGUGAAAUUGAAUUCCCCGUGAAGAUGCGGGGUUCCUGCGGUCAGACGGAAAGACCCCGUGCACCUUUACUGUAGCUUUGCGCUGGUAUUCGUGACUGUUUGUGUAGAAUAGGUGGUAGACUUUGAAGCCGUGGCGCCAGCCGUGGUGGAGUCGCAAUGUGAAAUACCACCCUAAUGGUUAUGGAUAUCUAACCACAUCCCAUUAGCUGGGAUCGGGACAGCGCAUGGUGGGCAGUUUGACUGGGGCGGUCGCCUCCCAAAGAGUAACGGAGGCGUGCGAAGGUAGGCUCAGAACGGUCGGAAAUCGUUCGUUGAGUAUAAUGGCAUAAGCCUGCCUGACUGCGAGACCAACAAGUCGAGCAGAGACGAAAGUCGGUCAUAGUGAUCCGGUGGUCCCGCGUGGAUGGGCCAUCGCUCAACGGAUAAAAGGUACGCCGGGGAUAACAGGCUGAUGACGCCAAGAGUCCAUAUCGACGGCGUCGUUUGGCACCUCGAUGUCGGCUCAUCACAUCCUGGGGCUGGAGAAGGUCCCAAGGGUUCGGCUUUCGCCGAUUAAAGUGGUACGUGAGCUGGGUUCAGAACGUCGUGAGACAGUUCGGUCCCUAUCUGCCGUGGGUGUUGGAAUAUUGAGAGGAUUUGUCCCUAGUACGAGAGGACCGGGAUGAACGUACCUCUGGUGGAGCUGUUGUCGCGCCAGCGGCAGUGCAGCAUAGCUAUGUACGGACGGGAUAACCGCUGAAAGCAUCUAAGCGGGAAACCCACCUCAAAACGAGUAUUCCCUUGAGAACCGUGGAAGACGACCACGUUGAUAGGCCGGGUGUGUAAGUGCGGCAACGCAUGUAGCUUACCGGUACUAAUCGUUC